GACAGAGGUGCCGAGCGUUAGGCGGAAUCACUGGGCGUAAAGGGUGCGUAGGCGGGUCUUUAAGUCAGGGGUGAAAUCCUGGAGCUCAACUCCAGAACUGCCUUUGAUACUGAGGAUCUUGAGUUCGGGAGAGGUGAGUGGAACUGCGAGUGUAGAGGUGAAAUUCGUAGAUAUUCGCAAGAACACCAGUGGCGAAGGCGGCUCACUGGCCCAUUACUGACGCUGAGGCACGAAAGCGUGGGGAGCAAACAGG
rnacentral:rRNA from 1 species